CCCUCCAAUCUGUCACUGCUGUUUUCAAAUAAUGAUGAGGAUGAGGGUUCUACAUUGGUAAAAGAGAACAAAAGCCCUUCCAGCAAGAAACGUCCCAUCACAGAUAAGAAGAACGCAGCUGUUUGGAUGCAGCAACUGGUCGGGAGUCGUUCUGCCAGUAAAUCUGCUACAUGCACGUCCUUCAAUGAAACAGCAGAGCUUACAGCAUAAAGUCACAAGUAGACUGCAGAGCUUCCUAUUUGAUCGGCGCCACUUGUCCAUCACUAUUGAAGGACCACUCCAAGCGCUAUAAAGCAACAGAGUCUGGCUACAGACCUCUAGCAGCAGACCCCUCUCUUGGUGCUUCAGCCACCUCUCCCUAUGAUUUCAUUCAAGGACCUGUGGCUGGAGGAGGAGGUGUCACAAGUCUGGAAGGUCUACCUUUUGUUUGAAGUGGGAGUGUCCAGCAGGUCCAACACCCUCAAACACUAUUUCUUCUCUGUUGAUAGUUUGCUUGGAAUCUUCCUUGACGAUGGACUGGUGUCUCCCCUCCUAGAUGAUGCAAGCCCACUUGAACAUCCACCUGAAUAGCCCUCCUGCUGCUGACUUCGCUCUUCUUUCCGUCAUUCAGCAUCACACAGCUCCACACCCCACUCACUCACAAAGCUGGCCUGCAAACAAAAUACCCUCCUGUCCCCGGCCUUCCAAAGCACUCUGGAAUCAAUGGACCAAACUCAGGACAACCGAAAGGAAAUGGAGGAAGUCCAAAACUCGGACACACCUGGCUAAGUAUCAAUCCCUUCCUGCAUCCUUUUCUUCUACCACCAUCAACACUAAGAAUUGAUUGCUUGAUACCCACCAGUCCAGCUUCAAGAAUAACAACUCGACCGAGACGGCUCUACUGACUGUAGUCAACCAGCUAUGCCGUCAUCAGUCUUGAUUAUCCUACUGUAGAUCUCUCUUCUGCCUUUGACACAGUCAACCACAACAUCCUUCUUGCCACCUUCUUUGAUCUUGGUAUUACUGGGAUUGCUCUCAGAGGGUUUGAGUCCUACAUCUCGGGCAGAUCCUACAGUGUGUCCUGUUGAAGGGAGCUGUCAAAGGCACACCAGUCAUGCACUGGUGUACCCCAAGAAUUGGUGCGAUUUCCUCUACUCUUCUCUCUUUAUACCACCUCACUGGGCUCCAUCAUCCAUUUGCACAGGUUCUCUAAUCAGUGUUAUACUGAUGAUACACAGCUAUACUUGUUGUUCCCCCUGGAGGACAAUACGGUAUCAGCUAGAGUCUUUGCAUGUCCUACUGAUAUCUCAACCUUGAUGAAUGUCCACCACCAACGGCUCAACCUGGCAAAAAUCGAGCUUCUUAUGAUCCCAGCCAGCCACUCAACUUUCCAUCACUAUACAGUUUGGCUCACUGUUGCUAACACCUGCCUUGAAGACCCAUCUGUUCUGUGAAUAUCUGUCUAACCUGUCUAACUGAAAAGAGGAAAAAAAAAAACUUUGUGCUGUGAUGCUUCAUAUUCUUGGUCAAUUUGUUUAAGUUUAAUUGUUGCAUUGAUUGCAAUCUAUGAUUGUAAAUGUAUGA